GACGAACGCUGGCGGCGUGCCUAAUACAUGCAGGUUGAGCGCUGAAGGUUGGUACUUGUACCAACUGGAUGAGCAGCGAACGGGUGAGUAACGCGUGGGGAAUCUGCCUUUGAGCGGGGGACAACAUUUGGAAACGAAUGCUAAUACCGCAUAAAAACUUUAAACACAAGUUUUAAGUUUGAAAGAUGCAAUUGCAUCACUCAAAGAUGAUCCCGCGUUGUAUUAGCUAGUUGGUGAGGUAAAGGCUCACCAAGGCGAUGAUACAUAGCCGACCUGAGAGGGUGGUCGGCCACAUUGGGACUGAGACACGGCCCAAACUCCUACGGGAGGCAGCAGUAGGGAAUCUUCGGCCAUGGACGAAAGUCUGACCGAGCAACGCCGCGUGAGUGAAGAAGGUUUUCGGAUCGUAAAACUCUGUUGGUAGAGAAGAACGUUGGUGAGAGUGGAAAGCUCAUCAAGUGACGGUAACUACCCAGAAAGGGACGGCUAACUACGUG
rnacentral:rRNA from 1 species